rnacentral:rRNA from 1 species
GAUGAACGCUGGCGGCGUGCCUAAUACAUGCAAGUCGAGCGAACAGACGAGGAGCUUGCUCCUCUGACGUUAGCGGCGGACGGGUGAGUAACACGUGGAUAACCUACCUAUAAGACUGGGAUAACUUCGGGAAACCGGAGCUAAUACCGGAUAAUAUAUUGAACCGCAUGGUUCAAUAGUGAAAGACGGUUUUGCUGUCACUUAUAGAUGGAUCCGCGCCGCAUUAGCUAGUUGGUAAGGUAACGGCUUACCAAGGCGACGAUGCGUAGCCGACCUGAGAGGAUGAUCGGCCACACUGGAACUGAGACACGGUCCAGACUCCUACGGGAGGCAGCAGUAGGGAAUCUUCCACAAUGGGCGAAAGCCUGACGGAGCAACGCCGCGUGAGUGAUGAAGGUCUUCGGAUCGUAAAACUCUGUUAUUAGGGAAGAACAAAUGUGUAAGUAACUAUGCACGUCUUGACGGUACCUAAUCAGAAAGCCACGGCUAACUACGUG